GGAUCAUCAUUUAGAGUUUUCCUUUGAAUUAGAUGUGUAGCCCCACAAGAUACCCCCUAUGAGGUUGUUCAGUGAAUGAGAGGCUGCUGGAACAAUGACAUUCGAUGAGACAAUCGUUGCCAUACCAUAGGCAAAUCCAACAAAUGUUGCCCAAGCUGCAAAUGAAUAUUUCCGACCACUUCCUAGGUGAAGACUACCGAAAACUGCU
rnacentral:misc_RNA from 1 species